CCAACAUCGAGGUCGCAAACUCUUUUUUUUAUAUGAACUAAAAAAAAAAAUUACGCUGUUAUCCCUAAGGUAAUUUUUUCUUAUAAUCAAUAUAAUUGGCUCAUAUAUUCAAAUAUUAUUGUUUUAAUUUUAAAAAAAGUUAUUUUAAUUUUUCUAUCACCCCAAUAAAAUAAUUAAUAUAAUUUCAAUUUUUUAAUAUUUAUAAAUAAUUUUAAUUAAAUCAAAUAUAAAACUCUAUAGGGUCUUCUCGUCUUUUUAAUUUAUUUUAUCUUUUUAAAUAAAAAAUUAAAUUCUACAAUAUAAUUAAGAGACAGCUCAUAUUUCAUCCAAUCUUUCAUACAAGUCAUCAAUUAAAUGACUAAUGAUUAUGCUACCUUUGUACAGUCAAAAUACUGC
rnacentral:rRNA from 1 species